GCUCAUGCCCACAUCCUGCCCAGAGCAGGCACCGUAGCCCCAGUGCCCUGUACAACCCUGCUGCCCUGUCAAACCCUGUUCCUGACCGAUGAGGAGAAGCGUCUGCUGGGGCAGGAAGGGGUUUCCCUGCCCUCUCACCUGCCCCUCACCAAGGUAACAUGCUUCCCCUAAGGGUAUCCCAACCCAGGGGCCUCACCAUGACCUCUGAGGGGCCAAUAUCCCAGGAGAAGCAUUGGGGAGUUGGGGGCAGGUGAAGGACCCAGGACUCACACAUCCUGGGCCACCAGGCAGAGGAGAGGGUCCUCAAGAAGGUCAGGAGGAAAAUCCGUAACAAGCAGUCAGCUCAGGACAGUCGGCGGCGGAAGAAGGAGUACAUUGAUGGGCUGGAGAGCAGGGUGGCAGCCUGUUCUGCACAGAAUCAAGAAUUACAGAAAAAAGUCCAGGAGCUGGAGAGGCACAACAUCUCCUUGGUAGCUCAGCUCCGCCAGCUGCAGACGCUAAUUGCUCAAACUUCCAACAAAGCUGCCCAGACCAGCACUUGUGUUUUGAUUCUUCUUUUUUCCCUGGCUCUCAUCAUCCUGCCCAGCUUCAGUCCAUUCCAGAGUCGACCAGAAGCUGGGUCUGAGGAUUACCAGCCUCACGGAGUGACUUCCAGAAAUAUCCUGACCCACAAGGACGUAACAGAAAAUCUGGAGACCCAAGUGGUAGAGUCCAGACUGAGGGAGCCACCUGGAGCCAAGGAUGCAAAUGGCUCAACAAGGACACUGCUUGAGAAGAUGGGAGGGAAGCCAAGACCCAGUGGGCGCAUCCGGACCAUGCUGCAUGCAGAUGAGAUGUGAGCUGGAACAGAUCUUCCUGGCCCACUUCCUGAUCAUAAGGAAUCCUGGGCUUCCUUAUGGCUUUGC
rnacentral:sRNA from 1 species